rnacentral:rRNA from 1 species
UACGUAGGUGGCAAGCGUUGUCCGGAUUUACUGGGCGUAAAGGAUGCGUAGGUGGAUAUGCAAGUCAGAUGUGAAAUACCCGGGCUCAACUCGGGUGCUGCAUUUGAAACUAUAUAUCUAGAGUGCAGGAGAGGUAAGUGGAAUUCCUAGUGUAGCGGUGAAAUGCGUAGAGAUUAGGAAGAACACCAGUGGCGAAGGCGACUUACUGGACUGUAACUGACACUGAGGCAUGAAAGCGUGGGGAGCAAAC